rnacentral:rRNA from 1 species
CGGAACACGAGAAAUUCCGUCGGAAUCCGGGAGGACCAUCUCCCAAGGCUAAAUACUCCCUAGUGACCGAUAGUGAACCAGUACCGUGAGGGAAAGGUGAAAAGCACCCCGGAAGGGGAGUGAAAUAGAUCCUGAAACCGUGUGCCUACAACAAGUCAAAGCCCGUUAAUGGGUGAUGGCGUGCCUUUUGUAGAAUGAACCGGCGAGUUACGAUUGCAUGCGAGGUUAAGUUGAAGAGACGGAGCCGCAGCGAAAGCGAGUCUGAAUAGGGCGUUUGAGUAUGUAGUCGUAGACCCGAAACCAUGUGAUCUACCCAUGUCCAGGUUGAAGGUGCGGUAAAACGCACUGGAGGACCGAACCCACGUACGUUGAAAAGUGCGGGGAUGAGGUGUGGGUAGCGGAGAAAUUCCAAACGAACUUGGAGAUAGCUGGUUCUCUCCGAAAUAGCUUUAGGGCUAGCCUCGGAAUUGAGAAUGAUGGAGGUAGAGCACUGUUUGGACUAGGGGCCCAUCUCGGGUUACCGAAUUCAGAUAAACUCCGAAUGCCAUUCAUUCAUAUCCGGGAGUCAGACUGUGAGUGAUAAGAUCCAUAGUCGAAAGGGAAACAGCCCAGACCACCAGCUAAGGUCCCAAAAUAUAUGUUAAGUGGAAAAGGAUGUGGGGUUGCACAGACAACUAGGAUGUUGGCUUAGAAGCAGCCACCAUUUAAAGAGUGCGUAAUAGCUCACUAGUCGAGUGACCCUGCGCCGAAAAUGUACCGGGGCUAAACAUAUUACCGAAGCUGUGGAGUACACCUUUAGGUGUAUUGGUAGGAGAGCGUUCUAAGGGCGUUGAAGGUAGAUCGUGAGGACUGCUGGAGCGCUUAGAAGUGAGAAUGCCGGUAUGAGUAGCGAAAGACAGGUGAGAAUCCUGUCCACCGAAUGACUAAGGUUUCCUGGGGAAGGCUCGUCCGCCCAGGGUUAGUCGGGACCUAAGCCGAGGCCGACAGGCGUAGGCGAUGGACAACAGGUUGAUAUUCCUGUACUCGUUGUUUUUGUUUGAGCAAUGGAGGGACGCAGGAGGCUAAGGAAUGCAGACGAUCGGAAAUGUCUGUCCAAGCAGUAAGUCUUGAUAGGAGUUAAAUGCUUCUAACUUUAAGGACAAGCUGUGAUGGGGAGGGAAAUAAUAGUACCGAAGUUCCUGAUGUCACACUGCCGAGAAAAGCUUCUAGUGAGAAAACAAUGACCCGUACCGCAAACCGACACAGGUAGUCGAGGAGAGAAUCCUAAGGUGAGCGAGAGAACUCUCGUUAAGGAACUCGGCAAAAUGACCCCGUAACUUCGGGAGAAGGGGUGCUGAUCUAUGAUCAGCCGCAGUGAAUAGGCCCAAGCGACUGUUUAUCAAAAACACAGGUCUCUGCAAAAUCGUAAGAUGAAGUAUAGGGGCUGACGCCUGCCCGGUGCUGGAAGGUUAAGAGGAGUGCUUAGCGUAUGCGAAGGUACGAAUUGAAGCCCCAGUAAACGGCGGCCGUAACUAUAACGGUCCUAAGGUAGCGAAAUUCCUUGUCGGGUAAGUUCCGACCCGCACGAAAGGCGUAACGAUUUGGGCACUGUCUCAACGAGAGACUCGGUGAAAUUUUAGUACCUGUGAAGAUGCAGGUUACCCGCGACAGGACGGAAAGACCCCAUGGAGCUUUACUGUAGUUUGAUAUUGAGUGUCUGUACCGCAUGUACAG